CAAGGUUACCAGAGCCUCAUUUA
rnacentral:misc_RNA from 1 species